rnacentral:rRNA from 1 species
GAUGAACGCUGGCGGCGUGCCUAAUACAUGCAAGUCGAGCGAACAGACGGGGAGCUUGCUCCUCUGACGUUAGCGGCGGACGGGUGAGUAACACGUGGAUAACCUACCUAUAAGACUGGGAUAACUUCGGGAAACCGGAGCUAAUACCGGAUAAUAUAUUGAACCGCAUGGUUCAAUAGUGAAAGACGGUUUUGCUGUCACUUAUAGAUGGAUCCGCGCCGCAUUAGCUAGUUGGUAAGGUAACGGCUUACCAAGGCAACGAUGCGUAGCCGACCGGAGAGUGUGACCGGCCACAUUGGGACUGAGAUGAGGCCAAGACUGCUACGGGAGGCAGGAGUGGGGAAUAUUGCAAAAUGGUAGGAAGCCUUAAGAAGAAAAGCCGCGCGCGGUAUGAUGGUCGUCGGGAUGUAACCCGCUCUCGCCUGCGACGAAGCGUGAGGGAGGCUAAUGGGUAAAGAAGAACCCGCUAACUACGUC